rnacentral:rRNA from 1 species
GAUGAACGCUGGCGGCGUGCCUAACACAUGCAAGUCGUACGAGCUCGAUCUUCGGAACGGGUUAGUGGCGCACGGGUGAGUAACACGUAGGUGACCUACCCCAGAGUGGGGGAUAACUUCUCGAAAGAGAGGCUAAUACCGCAUACACUCGGUCAUUCAUUUGGCCGAGCAAAGCUCCGGCGCUUUGGGACGGGCCUGCGUCCGAUUAGCUAGUUGGUAGGGUAAUGGCUUACCAAGGCUUUGAUCGGUAGCUGGUCUGAGAGGACGAUCAGCCACACUGGCACUGACACACGGGCCAGACUCCUACGGGAGGCAGCAGUGAGGAAUAUUGGGCAAUGGGCGAAAGCCUGACCCAGCAACGCCGCGUGAGGGAUGAAGGCCUUCGGGUUGUAAACCUACUUUCUUGGGAGAAGAGACAAGGACGUAGUCCCAGGAAUAAAGUCUCGGCUAACUACGUGCCAGCAG